rnacentral:rRNA from 1 species
CGAGGGGCAGCAUUUUAUUGCUUGCAACUAAGAUGGCGACCGGCGCACGGGUGAGUAACACGUAUCCACCUGCCGAUAACUCGGGGAUAGCCUUUCGAAAGAAAGAUUAAUAUCCGAUAGUACCGCAUGGUUAAAGAAUUUCGGUUAUCGAUGGGGAUGCGUUCCAUUAGUUUGUUGGCGGGGUAACGGCCCACCAAGACUACGAUGGAUAGGGGUUCUGAGAGGAAGGUCCCCCACAUUGGAACUGAGACACGGUCCAAACUCCUACGGGAGGCAGCAGUGAGGAAUAUUGGUCAAUGGACGAGAGUCUGAACCAGCCAAGUAGCGUGAAGGAUGACUGCCUAUGGGUUGUAAACUUCUUUUAUAUGGGAAUAAGUAUUCCACGUGUGGAAUUUUGUAUGUACCAUAUGAAUAAGGAUCGGCUAACUCCGUGCCAGCAGCCGCGGUAAUACGGAGGAUCCGAGCGUUAUCCGGAUUUAUUGGGUUUAAAGGGAGCGUAGGUGGAUUGUUAAGUCAGUUGUGAAAGUUUGCGGCUCAACCGUAAAAUUGCAGUUGAAACUGGCAGUCUUGAGUACAGUAGAGGUGGGCGGAAUUCGUGGUGUAGCGGUGAAAUGCUUAGAUAUCACGAAGAACUCCGAUUGCGAAGGCAGCUCACUAGACUGCAACUGACACUGAUGCUCGAAAGUGUGGGUAUCAAACAGGAUUAGAUACCCUGGUAGUCCACACAGUAAACGAUGAAUACUCGCUGUUUGCGAUAUAAGUAAGCGGCCAAGCGAAAGCAUUA